UACGUAGGGCGCGAGCGUUGUCCGGAAUUAUUGGGCGUAAAGAGCUCGUAGGCGGUUUGUUGCGUCUGCUGUGAAAUCCCGGGGCUUAACCCCGGGCGUGCAGUGGAUACGGGCAGGCUGGAGGCAGGCAGGGGAGAAUGGAAUUCCCGGUGUAGCGGUGAAAUGCGCAGAUAUCGGGAGGAACACCGGUGGCGAAGGCGGUUCUCUGGGCCUGUUCUGACGCUGAGGAGCGAAAGCGUGGGGAGCGAACAGG
rnacentral:rRNA from 1 species